rnacentral:rRNA from 1 species
UACGGAAGGCAGCAGUGGGGAAUAUUGCACAAUGGGCGCAAGCCUGAUGCAGCCAUGCCGCGUGUAUGAAGAAGGCCUUCGGGUUGUAAAGUACUUUCAGUCGUGAGGAAGGUGUUAAGGUUAAUAACCUUAGCAAUUGACGUUAGCGACAGAAGAAGCACCGGCUAACUCCGUGCCAGCAGCCGCGGUAAUACGGAGGGUGCGAGCGUUAAUCGGAAUUACUGGGCGUAAAGGGCACGCAGGCGGUUAAUUAAAGUUGGAUGUGAAAUCCCCGGGCUUAACCUGGGAAUGGCAUUCAAGACUGGUUAGCUAGAGUCUUGUAGAGGGGGUAGAAUUCCAUGUGUAGCGGUGAAAUGCGUAGAGAUGUGGAGGAAUACCGGUGGCGAAGGCGGCCCCUGGGACAAAGACUGACGCUCAUGUGCGAAAGCGUGGGGAGCGAAACAGGAUUAGAUACC